GGAGGAAGAGGAAGUACGGUGUCCAAAUGAAAGCCUGGGGAAGCCAGCUGCUUGACAGCUUCUUUGAGAUGUCUCGGACGGAGCUGGCGGGGAAACUUCGAAUCCACACCGGGAAGAAUGGUCUUCCUUGAAGCUCGGCUACAGAGAGGACGAAGAAUGCACUGUGACAAAAUAAACCAUAACAACAAAGUAGACCAGAAGAAAACAAUGUAAGUGACACAGAUUUCAAAGCUAGACGACAAGAGAUCUACAGUGGCUACCAUAAUGUCUCUUGUUUUCUUCUAAAUAGUUGUCUAUAUUUUCACACAAUGAAUUCAUACAAAACAAAAUAGUAUAAAACUGAUCAGAACAGAGUGAUGAAGACAUAGGCUUUCAAAACCAGACAAUAGGAAAAUCAAUAAUGGUCAACAUAAUGUCUCUUGUUCACUUCAAAAUAGCUGUCCAUACCUUUAUAUAUGUUGAAAUUAAAUAAUACAAAACAGACUAAAACCACUCUAAACAAAGAAUAAAAUAACUACUGGAUUUCACAGCAUGACGACAUGGAAUCAGCAAUGGAUAUUAUAAUGUCUCUUCAAAGCAGCUGUUCAUUUCAUCACGCAUAUUACAAUCAAGUCUCAUAAACUGUUUAGGAGAAGUUCUAGACAUGUAUAAGCCUCUACAUGUAUGCCUAUCCUUUCUGCAUUAGAGGGAAAAACAAAUUACUAAAAAACAAGAAGCAAAAAAGAUAAAUAAUAGCAAGGAGCCUCAAACAAUGACAAUAUAGGCCUUCAAAACAAAGUAUAGGAACAUAACUAAGGUUGUUAUUUUACACUGUAGUUAUUUAUGUAUUUAUUUAUUUUUGGUACUUUGCACUUAACCAGGCAAGCACUUUAGCUGCUAAGACCCUGACUACACUGUGGUAAUUUUUAAGAGAUUCAGCAUUCAGCAUGUUUUUCUAUCACAUUGUGUAUCUUUUCAAUGAAAGUCUAUUCCAUCAAGAGAUAGAAAAACCAGCUCAGAAAUCAAGUGAGAUAGUACCCCAAAUCCAAGGUAAGUAGUAAUUUGUAUGAGUGAAGCUAGGAUCACAGAUCACUCCCCACUUUUUUUUGAGACAGGGUCCUGCUAUGCAGUUCAGCCUGGCCUUACAUUCAUUGCGUAGCCCAGGCUGGCCUUGAACUCACAGCAAUCCUCCUGCCUCAGCCUGUAGAAUGCUGGGAUGUGGGUGUGCACACCAUGCUAGCCGGACCAUUUCUUGAGUAAGGAAGCAGCACAACUUUCAUGAGUGGUUGCAAGUGAAACCUAGAGAGAAGAGGAUGUCACUUCUGCAGGGACUUAGUUGGAAUGGGAAAAUUUAUGAAUCAGAAAGGACAACAAACAGUGGAAUGCAAAUGGUCUGGAAAAGACUUGAAAAACAUCCAAUUAUAAGAUACUCAAGAAUACAUGUUCCCCACACUUCCCUCAGUGGUACCCACCUGCCCCCUGACAGUGUGCUGAGGUGAACAGCCUGUGAGUUGCUUUAGGGUUUUUCUUCUCAAAGGUUUUUAUUUUGAGUCUGAUUUUUAAAAUCAAACUCAUAUUCCAUUUCUCCCCAGUGAUUCACAGACACUGUUUUACUGUAUUUAUUGCUUAUCACCUGGAUAGUUAUAAACUGCAUUUCUAAGGGAUGAAAAAUUCUUGGUGGAAAAUAAUGGAACAAAGUCAAAAUCCUGGUGUGGUAAAGUGGAAAAGGCAUAGGUGUAACCUGGAUUUGAACUCAGGUCUUCUGCAUACCAUCACGAGCACUUUGGACAUGCUGGUGCACUCCAGAUGGUCUUAAAGACUCUCAGCCUGUACAAGUUCCUGUGUCCAGGCCUGCUGGUGUCCUCCUGCUGUGAAAUGCCUGCUUCAUCUGGACCAAUCCUGGAGUCCAGCUAUGGGCCAUACAAUGUACCCUAUUCCAUCUUUCUUUCCUUCUAGCACUGGGAUUGAAACCAAGAGCUUACAGAGCUGCACUCCCAUCCCUUCUUAUUUUAUCCUAAGACAGGGUCUCGUUAUGACUCCCAGGCUGGCCUUGAACUUGGGCUCCUCCACCAGGCCUCGCUCUGCCAGGUACCCAGCUGGGCGUGGCACCCUUGAAACGUGGGGGAUGCAAAAGCUGCAGUGAGGAGGGCCUUGGCUCUUGCUUUAUAAACUUGUAUAGUGAGAAAUCUUAACUAUUACCUAAUUCCAAAGGAUUAACAAGAAUCACUGUUGAAUUCACAGAAUUAAAUGAGAGUGAGCAGCAACAAUGGCAAGGAUGAAGCAUCUGAAGGAGCACAGCAGGUUGGGGGCUUCCAGUUGCUUCAUGUUUCAUUACUUUCUGGGAUCUUCCAUUCUUACAACAGAGCUUAGCAGUCUCACGUUAGAAAGUCUCUAAAGACCUGCAGCUGACAGGGAACCUGCAGCAUGCUGCCAGUCACAUGCGUCAGCCUGUAGAGCUGCAGACCACACAGGACACAGACCCAUCCUGCCCACCUCAGGCCACACUUGCGUCUCACUGCGAUGCAGCCACGGCAUCUUUGAACAUGAAGAUGCAUGGUGCAGGCUGAGUAGAGUAGGACCAGUGUGGCAGACAGAGCAUCAGGACAAAGUGCAGACAAAUGCUGGGCCAGUAGACCAGGCCACGGGUAACGGGCAGCAGAGACCUUCGGAAGGACGGGAUGAGGUGAUGGCCAUGCCUCCCUGUGCCAUGCUGCCAGUGACAGCCUCAGUGCCUGGUGCUUCCUGCAGUGCUGUGUUUUGGGCAGGGACUGAGCACAUGCAGCUUCCUGCACUGGCAGGAGUUGAGAGGAGGAACCAGUCCAAGCACAGUGUUUGGAGAUGGAGCCUGUGGAUCACAGUAGGAGGGAGCCUGAAUAAUGCUUGAUCGAAUCUUAAUGGCUUUGGAACAUCAGCCUAGGUUCAGUGGGGCCCAUUCUUUUUUACUAUAAAUCCAUCCUUUAGGGUAACAGUAGCUGGCUGUCUCAGUACCUUUCCUGAGGAUACAGGAAGCAAUUUGCGUUUAUACUCACUUGGUAUGAUGAACAACAAGGAGUGUACACCUGUGCAAAAGUUUGGCCCCCACCAUUAUCCUCCAGCUGACUGGUUUUGUGUAUGUUUACCCAAGCAUUGCCGAGGGUCCAACAGACCCAUACUACUCCAGGAUUUAUUUUUUUAAAAAAGUUUUCUUCUGAUUUUUCUGGUAGAACUAGCUCAGUUCAGUACAAUAGCACAUGAAAGGCGAGAUUUGCAAGUUUUGGAGGACUCGGAAGUGAAUCAUUAGACUGCUUGUGCAAAUGAUUCAUUGUGGUAAAACAUACGCCUUCACAGCAGAAGGGGGACACGGAUGGACGACAAUGGUGACUUGACACCUGCCAUAUGAGCCAAAGUUUGUGUGACAGUGAAACGAAGCAAGAAUCGACUGACUCAUAAACAGGUACUGCAGUCCUCCUUGAUGCAGAGGACAAAAAUAAACAGCAAUGUGAGUCCAUGUUUGACUAGGGAAAAUGUGCAAAAUGAUCACAAAUCCAAAUGGAAUGAUCCAAUGUUAGACCUAGGUCUGAAUAUACAGUGAGGGUCUUGGCAGGGACGAAAGGUAUUGGACAGAAUGGCAGCACUGCCAUUCAGUGUUGGAAAUUAUAACAGAUGAAAUGCUACAAGAUGCCAUGAAAUACACCAAGGCUGAAAUGCAAGUAAAACAUUCUGUAUGCACCAAUAGCCAUAUUUAAAAAUGUACUGUUAUGACACUAGCUGAACUGAAAGCAUUCAUAGGUCUGCUGUACUUGGCACUGAAUUCUUAUGUGAUUGCAGGAAUAUAAAGGACAUGGAAAAGUGACAGGUCAAAAUGUGAUAUAAAAAUCUGUGCCCUUAUAGAUGCGAAGACUUACUAAGCUCUCCGUUCAGACAUGUGUCCUGGGACUCAGCCAUCAGAUCCUUAUUUAUACAGUAAUAAACUGAAUGAUGAUGUGAACAGACUGGCUGCUCCCACCUCCCAAACUAAUCAGAAUGUGACAUUCAACAUGGUUUACUGGUUUCUAAUCCAUGUUACAUUUGCUAGCACAGCACAAGUUGACCAAGGCAAGAACUGUACCCAAGAAAGGAAGUAUAACUUCUGAAAAAAUGUUGCAAUUUCUUCUUUUUCUUCCUCGUCCUCCUCUUCCUUCUUUUUUCUUUUUGAGCCAGGGUCUCAUUAUGCAGUUCAGGUUGACCUUCAACUCACUUUGUAGCCAAGGCUGGCCUUGAACUCAUAGCAGUUCUCCUGCUUCAUCCUUCCAAGUGAUGGUAUUACAGGCAUGUGCCACCAUGCCUGGCUGAAAUAUUGCAAUUUCAAAACAGAGAACUGGGAGACCGGCCUCUGCCUGCCAGGUGACGCCACCAGAAGGCCCUUGCUCCUGUGCACCCAGUGUGGGUCAAAAGAACCAGGAGAUUGGCCUCAGCCUGCUGAGUGCUGCCACCUGAAGGCUCAUUCUUUGGUGCGCCCAGUGUGGGUUGAAGGAGACAGACAGAUUCACCAUUGCCUGUUGUGUGCUGCCACUAAAAGGCCACAUCCUGCAGGUGGCCAGCAUGGGCAGCAGAUCCAUCUUCACCCUCAGGGAGCUGCCACCAGAAGGCUCCUUCAUGCAGGCAGCCAGCAGGAGCAGGGACACACAGCCAGGUAAGCCCUAUGAGUAUCUGUAGGCCACCAUUGGAGGCCCUUGGUUCCCUCAGGCAGCCAUCACCCACUAGCUGAAUCAAACACACUCCUGUGUGUCUGCUACCAUUGUGGGAGUCCCAGUGUAGACACACAGGCUAAGAGAAGCAGCCCCACCUAUAUGUACCCCUGAUCAUCACAGUGUAGCUGCAUAGGUCUAGAGAGGCCUGCCCCACACCCUGCUAUCUCUCUGUAAAUCUGGAAUUAGAGGAACACAGGUGCCUGUCCCAUCCCCCUACACUGCCUGGGGCAGCCAACAUGGAAAGCACUUGGGAUCCCACAACCAGCUUGUUGGGAGGAAUCUAGGAGAAUGUCAAGAAGGAGCAAAAGGCAAACUAAGACACAGAAUAAGUCUGGGAGAUACAGUUAUGGAAGAAAACAGAAGUCACAUACCUGAAAUCUCUGAGAUGAUAGCAACUGAAGUAAGGAAACAACUUUAUGAGAUUAUAAAAGCAGUCAAAUCAGAAAUAAUGUCUCAGGCAAAAGAAGAAAUCAUAAACAUACUGAAAGAAUUGUUCAGCAGGUCUAAAUAAGACAGACAAUAAAGAGGAGCAAAGGAAAAUGAUGGAAACCUUGAAUCAAUGUAGAAAGGGAUUACAAUGCAUGCAACAGCUUCAAAGAAAAAUUCAGGGAAUUAAAAAUUCAAUCGAAAGCUGGCAAACCCACUUGAAAAAGACUGAAGAUAGACUUUCAAACUUUGAAGAUAGGAUUGCAGCUAGUGAUUGUAAAAGGAAAGAUCUCUUAAAAGAACAAGGAAUCAGGAAAUAACAAUCCAAUGGCUGCAAGAUGAUGCAAAGAAGUAUAACUUAAGAGUGAUAGGUGUAGGUGAAAAUGCAGGAGUCAACACAAAUGAAAUUAAAAGGAUAUUCACAGAAGUAAUAAAAGAAAACUUGCCAAGCAUGGGAAAUGGAUCUGGCAUGCAGACAAGUGAGGCAUAUAGGACUCCAACUAGCCAUAACCAAAGUAAAUCUACACCCAGACAUAUAAUAAUCAAGAUCCCAGAAAUUCAGCACAAGAACAGAAUAUUAAAGCUGUUAGAGAAAAGACACAGAUCACCUAUAAAGGAAAACCAAUCAGAAUCACAGCAGACUUGUCAAUACAAACCAUCAAGUCAAGAGUUUGGAGUGAAGUGUUUCAAACCCUAAAGGAAACAACUUCCAAUUCAGAUUGAUCUACCCUGCAAAACCAUCUUUUAAAAUUGACGGAAAAUAAUAUACUUCCAUGAUAAAGAACAACUGAAGGAAUUCAUGACUACCGAACCAACCCUACAGAGAGUGCUAAAGGAUAUUAUAGAAAGAGAUAAAGCUGAUCAUGGUUCCAGGAACAGCACAGAGGAGGAUCACCAAACAAGACAGGCAACUGAAUGAAGGGGAAAAGUGGAGGGCCAACAACUGGAGGAUAGGAGGGCAGAGACAAACCAAUGUAUGCUGGUUGUAACCAUUAAUGUAGAUGGCCUCACUACAGCAAUAAAAAGAAACACAGAAUGGAUCAGGAAACAAGACCUAUCGAUAUUCUGUAUACUAAAAAGGAAAUUCAUAGACCGAAAAUGAAAGGAGAGAAAACAAUUGUUCCAUGUGACAGGAGACCAAAAAAAAAAAAAAAAAAAAAAAGAGUACCUUGCCCAUCAACCACAGAAUGGAUAAGAAAGUUAUGGUAUUUUCAUGCAAUGGAAAGCUACCCAUCUAUAAAGUAGAAUAAUCUCAAGGCUCCUGUAGGUAAGUGGACACAACUGGAGAUCAUGCUCAUGGCUGAAACAGUUCGAACUCAUACGUGUGAACCCUAACAUAAGAAACAGAAGGCAUUAAUGGGAUCCAAAAGCAAAACAGUUAAUGUAAGAGCAAAGGGGAGGAAAUACCUGGGAGGGGAAGGUGGAAACUACUGUCAAUUUUUUAUUGUCUUAUCUUGAACUCUUGCAUUGUUUACAUAGUUUUGUUAGGUUUGGCUUUGUUCUGUCUUGUUAGGUUCUAUGCUGUCAGAUGGUAGGGGCAGUUAUUUUGAAUAUAAUGGGAUAUAUUAUGGUAAUCCUGGUUUCCUAUUAUAUUGCUUUGAAGUCUUAUAAUGCUUUCAUUUGUUUGAUUGGUUUUAUUGUUUUGUUUUAUUUUAUUAUGUGUAAUGGUAUGAAUAGCUGUUUUGAAGAAAACAAGACAUUAUGGUAGCCACUGCUGAUUUACUAUCAUCUUGCUUUGAAGUCCUACCAUGCUUUUGUUCUGCUUUGAUUGGUUUUUAUCCUAUUGUGUUUUGAUUUUUAUUAUGUGAUGGUAUAGACAAAAUUUUUUGAGGAAAGUGAGAUAUUAUAGUAGCCAUUGUUCAUUUCCUGUUAUUUGGUUUUGAAGUCCUGUGAUGCUUUCAUUCUUUUGAAUGAUUUUAUACUAUAUUGUUAUGUUUGAUAUUAAUAUGUGUGAAGCUAUGCUCAUCUAUUUUGAAGAAAAAAGAGACAUUAUGGUACCUACAGCUGAUGUCCGGUUGUCUUGUUGUGAAGUACUGUGUUGCUUGUAUUGUUCUGUUCUGGUUUGCUUUGUUUUGUUCUCUUUUGUUUUAUUCUCUUUAAAAUAAAAAAAUUUUUAAAACCCAGAGAA